ACAACCGGGGGUUGAUUUGUUUUGUUCUAGGGCUCAGCCCAGUGGUCGUGCAUCUAAGAGCCGCCACAUUAAUGCAAUGUUUGGGAUCCUUUUCAAGCCUGCAUUUUCUGACAACUCGAAUUCGGGGGAUCACAAUAUUUAUAUAGGAGAUUCUGGAGGGGAAAAAAGGAGAAGAUUGUGAUAUUGCGUCUUUUGCUCUCUGAAACUACAUACAAUAAUUCUUUUGGUAGCUUUUAGUAAUAAUAAUAUUGAUAAAAAUAUUGACGCUUUUGGGACAGAUGUUUUGUGGUGAAUGAGGGAAGAGUUUUCUGACAAGAUUACACGUGCGAAACCUGAACUCUUGAGACUACACAACCACUCAACAGUCUUGAAAACAAAAUCGAACUUGUGAACUGUCAGCCCCUGCUAUCGACAAGCCCACUCCAAGAGGACCUCGGGGAUUUCCAUCCGUCUUUGAAACCGAAACUUAAUGAAUCAGCCGGUUCUACAAGCAGAACAUCUGACAAAUACGGGGACAACUCAAACGGGAACGCAAACAUGGGCGGAGAUAAUGCUGGUGACAUGACAACACCCAGCCUCCACGUGACUCUCACCAUGGCAGCUUUGAUUUCCAUGUGGCUCUUUACUCUUCUUUGAGAUUUUACCAUGAA